CAGCGUUGAUGAUCUAUAUUGAACCAGAUGUGCCGAUGUGCUCUAAAACACAUUUUGGAGUUUGCUCUAGUCGGUCUAUUUCUAUGCCGGUGGCUUAGAGUGACGUGGCCUCGUCAGCCUAGCCGGAAGUAGGAGGGACUGUUGUGCAGCUGCAGUAUCGGUCGUGUGAAGUAAAACGUCAAACUAAAAUACACACAAUGGUGACAGACGUUCAGCUCGCAAUAUUCGCCAACAUGCUUGGUGUCUCAUUGUUCCUACUGGUCGUUUUGUACCACUACGUUGCUGUCAACAACCCCAAGAAAAUGGACUAGUUUCCCAACCAUGCCCCACAUCCAUCUUGCAUGGGAAGGUCUGAGGAUCGCCCCACUCAUCCUAUCAAGGUGCCACCAUCACAAAGACAACAUUCCUCCACCAUUCGUCCUGCCCUGUCUGCAAAUCCACAAGAUGAAUCCUGAUAUUGCUUCAGUUGUACAGCAGGUUUUUUUUCUAAGAAAUAAAUGAAUGAAAUAUGAA